UAGUAAAGAUAGCUUAACAUUCUCUUGGUUUUGACACUGUGCUAGAGCAAUGUCUGUUCUUUUCUUCUGCACUGAAAGGACCAUUUAUCCUUUUAAAUGUAUUCAGAAAAUCAGCACGUUA
ensembl:snoRNA